UGAAAGUCGUGAAAAUAGUAUUGACCUUUGUGAAUUAUCGAGAAUGUAUUUAAGUUAAUUCGAAUAGGAAUAACGUGUGUCAGGACUUUUAGAAUUGACAUUAUUUCACGAUUUAAUAUUUCAAUGAUUCCCUUGUUCGUUAGUAAUUUUCUGUUAGUUUAAAUGUCGCAAAAGAAAUCAGGUUAAGUAUCCAUGUACAUACGUAAUUUGGGGAUACGUUUUGCCUUUAUUAGUGCUCAUUUGAAUGUAACUUGUUAAUUUAUUGCAAGGAAGUUUGAAAUGGAAUGAAACAGUCGGGGAGAUCUUUUUCAAAGAGUGAAAAGAGGGGAAAAAGAGAGAGAAAGCUUCAUACGUACCUGCCAUCAGUUACUGUUUUUUUCUCUAAAGAUCGACAAGGUUGACCACUCGAGGAGAGACCCUAAACGAGAAUAAAACGCAUUCGCGAAGAAAAAUUAAAUGCAUUCACCGUCCCGAAAGUACGAAAAGGGCCAGAACGUAGGGGCGAAUCAAUUUCUGACGUACCGUCCUACGUGCCCGUGUAAACCAAUUUCAGGCAAUUUCGCGUCAAGAAUAGCCUCUUCAACAAUGAAUUGACCCACGCGAAGACCUUUCCAAUUUUAACCGAUCUCGAGAAUACUCGUAGAAAAGAGUGUAUAUAUAUAUAUAUAUAUAUAUAUAUAUAUAUAUAUAUAUAUUCACACGCACAGACACGCAAACAUCACGGAGUCUUCGAUUUUGUCGCAAAAUUCUACGUAAUAUUUCAUUAAAUUAUAUAAAUCGUACCAUGUUAACUCCCAUUGAAAGUCACGUGAAAAGUAAAAAA